rnacentral:rRNA from 1 species
UACGUAGGGUGCGAGCGUUGUCCGGAAUUAUUGGGCGUAAAGGGCUCGUAGGCGGUUUGUCGCGUCGGGAGUGAAAACCCAGGGCUUAACCCUGGGCUGGCUUCCGAUACGGGCAGACUAGAGGUAUGCAGGGGAGAACGGAAUUCCUGGUGUAGCGGUGAAAUGCGCAGAUAUCAGGAGGAACACCGGUGGCGAAGGCGGUUCUCUGGGCAUUACCUGACGCUGAGGCGCGAAAGCUAGGGGAGCGAACGGG